rnacentral:misc_RNA from 1 species
AACGCACAUUGCGCCCCUUGGUAUUCCAUGGGGCAUGCCUGUUCGAGCGUCAUUUGUACCUUCCAGCCCUGCUGGGUGUUGGGCGUUUUGUUCCGCUGCACGCGUGAACUCGCCUCAAAUACAUUGGCAGCCCGCCGUCCCGUGUGGGAGCGCAGCACAUUUUGCGCUCUCCGCUGCUGACGGUGGCAUCCACAAGUCUACCAUUUUACGCUUGACCUCGGAUCAGGUAGGGAUACCCGCUGAACUUAA